rnacentral:misc_RNA from 2 species
AACGCACCUUGCGCUCCUUGGUAUUCCGAGGAGCAUGCCUGUUUGAGUGUCAUGGAAUUCUCAACUCCCCAUUUUUAUUAAUGGGUGAGCUUGGAUUUGGAGGUCGUGUCGGCUCUCGUAGUCGACUCCUCUUAAAUGUAUUAGCGUGAAUCUUACGGAUCGCCUUCAGUGUGAUAAUUAUCUGCGCUGUGGUGUUGAAGUAUUUUUAUAGUUCGUGCUUACAAUCGUCUCUCACGAGACAACUUUGACAAUCUGACCUCAAAUCAGGUAGGACUACCCGCUGAACUUAA